CUGACAUUGUGAAUAAUUAAUUUUAGCAUUUCACGCACAUAAACUUCAACCAAGAAUUCUUCUCUCCCAAACCUCUCUUUCAACGCUUUUACGGCUUUGGGAUAAUUCUCUGCAGUCUGCGGAUAACUACACACCAAUUCAUGGGCACGGGACCCAUCUACCAUCAAUUGUACCAAAAAUUGAAACUUGUCACUGUCAUGUAUGGUAAUGUCUUCGUCUAUCUUUUUAAACUGACUCCAAAAUCCUAACGACUCUUUGACUUCUCCGUUAAACUUUUUGUAGUUAAAUUUUGGCAAUUUAAAAUUUCUUUGAUUACCCAAUACUGGCAAGUUCUCAUUUUCAGUUAUGGAUUUGCAAUUUUCAUCUCUCAGCACUUCAAACACUCGCCUUGCUGUUUGAAACAUUUUCUUAUAUUGAGCAAUAUCAUCAAAUUCUUCAUUUUGUUGAUCAUCGUCCACGUUGUCGUCAAGCAUUUGGUUUUUGAUCGUAUCGUCCAAUGUUUGCAAUUCCCGAUGAGUAUCCUCCAACAUUAAUACAUUCACACGCAUCUGAUCCAAAUCCGGAAUAGUAUUUUGGCUUUCAACGUUUAUGUCUUCACACAACUUCUUCAACUGCCGCCUGACAGGACGACGCGCUCUCUCUAAUCGAUCCAUAGGUUUUCAGGUUUUCGAAUUAUUCGACAACUCACAAAUCACGUCGGGGUCACCAAAAAUGUUCUAGUUGAUGCGGCUAGGGACUACAACUACCCGUUGAUAGUUUAACCGCGUGUGUAAAAAGAUAAUUCACGAAAAAGAGAAUAUUCUAUAAUCGAUCAAUUUUAUUGUAUUGACAAACUUCUAUUUAUUUCAAAUCUGUUCUAUACAUACUUGAUUACUAAAAUGCAUCUUUCUUCACUCGCUUUUUAUCACUCGUUAAUAAACAUGACACGAACAGAUCAUUGGCCAUUUACCAUUAAUUACACUUGCUUAAAUCUAGACUGUUUGCAGGUUGUCGGCUGGGGUAGAACAAGUAUUACUAGUCAGGAGGCAUCUUCAGAACUACGUGAAUUAUCGGUGCCAUUCAUACCGUACUCAGAUUGUUAUGCCGCUGUUCCGACUGAUUUUAAAAAAUAUUUAACUUAUGACAAAAUAUGUGCAGGAUAUCUAAAUAAAGGGCAAUCAAUUUGUCAAGGUGACAGUGGAGGUGGAUUGACAUUUCAAAGGCAUCAAAAUCGAUAUUACAUUAGAGGCAUUGUGAGCAUAAGUCCUACAGAAACAGUAGAGGGACAUGCGACCUGUAAUCCAAAUUAUUAUGCUACCUAUACUUGGGUUUCAAAACACUUAAAUUUUAUAAAAGGAAUUGAUAAUCAAUAUAGAUCGUGAAAGUAAAUUUUUAAAUUCUUGUUGUUCUAAAUAGAAAUCAAAAAUAAAAUCGCAUCUAAAUGGG